UACGGGGGGAGCAAGCGUUGUUCGGAUUUACUGGGCGUAAAGGGCGCGUAGGCGGCCAGCACAAGUCAGUUGUGAAAUCUCCGAGCUUAACUCGGAAAGGUCAACUGAUACUGUGCGGCUAGAGUGCGGAAGGGGCAACUGGAAUUCUUGGUGUAGCGGUGGAAUGCGUAGAUAUCAAGAGGAACACCUGCGGCGAAGGCGGGUUGCUGGGCCGACACUGACGCUGAGGCGCGAAAGCUAGGGGAGCGAACGGG
rnacentral:rRNA from 1 species